UGGUUGCAUCCUGUGAACCUACCCUGGAACAUGGAGAGCACUCCCACCAAACACACACACACACCACAAGCUAAGUGGAUGAGGGACUAGGAUCCGCACCAGUCAUCGCCCAAACACCACCCAUGGGGUAGUGGAGUGAUGCUGUGGUAUCCUGGAAAACACGGGAAAGCACAAUGACUGGCACCCAACAGCAACGGCAGAUUCAAAGACACUCUGAGGGCAUGUGGCACUGACGUGGGGAAACGCUGACCAUGGGCGACUGGAAUCUUUUGGGCAGCAUCCUAGAAGAGGUCCACAUUCACUCCACAAUUGUGGGCAAGAUCUGGCUCACCAUCCUCUUCAUUUUCCGCAUGUUGAUCCUGGGGGCCGCCGCUGAGGACGUGUGGGAUGACGAGCAGUCAGAAUUUGUUUGCAACACUGACCAGCCGGGCUGCAAGGCGGUGUGCUACGAUCGUGCCUUCCCCAUCUCGCUCAUCCGCUUCUGGGUGCUACAGGUCAUCUUUGUUUCUGCGCCCUCCUUGGUCUACAUGGGACAUGCCCUCUACUGCAUCCGGGCGCUGGAGAAGGAGCGACACAAGAAACGGAUUCAGAUAAAGGAGGAACUGGACGAGACGGAUUUAGCAUUGGACGAACACAGGCGGCGAGAAAGAGAGUUGAAGAGGCUCGACGAGCAGAGGAAGGUGAAGCGAGCGCCAUUGCGUGGAUCACUAUUAAGAACUUACAUCAUCCAUAUCCUUACACGUUCCGUGGUGGAGAUAUGCUUCAUUAUGGGGCAGUAUUUACUCUACGGUAUCAAACUUGAACCACUGUACCGAUGUGAGAGACUGCCGUGUCCGAACAGAGUGGACUGUUACGUUUCACGGCCCACAGAAAAGACCAUCUUCAUGGUCUUCAUGAUUGUUAUUGCUUACGUGUCUCUAUUUCUCAACAUACUCGAAAUAUCUCACCUGGGCACGAGGAAAAUCAAGCAGACACUUUAUGGGGAGAAGUACACCGAAGACGACAGCCUCUUCUACAAGUCCAAGCGGAAGGCAUCACACCUCUGUGUCAUGAGCAAUACAUCACCACAUAAUGGACCUUUGACACAGAGUUUCCAAGUCAUUCCAGAAAAACAUAUAAAGACACCUGAUGACCCUUGGUUCAGACUUAACCAGGAUCCCCUGAGGCGCAAUAUCCGAGCCGAUCUGGGCGAUGAUCAAACUGGUGCCAUUUGUCCACAAGCUGGGAUGCUAACAAGCUCCGAGCCAAACUCUGAAAUACAGUUCCUCCCCAGUGAGAGCCAGGGAUCACCUUACAAUCAUGAGGAUACCCACGGGUCACCACAGCUGGCUCCGCUGGAGGCGGUGAUGACCAGCAGCAGCUUCCGACCCAGUCUCAUGAAAGACUUUGGGGAUAGAGUGGAGUCCAUGGGUAGUGAUGCCCUAUUGUCGAAUCCCAGAAAAAAUAGUUUUCUGAUUCGGCCGCCAUCUGAAAGCUUGUCAUCAAUCAGUGGAACCAUGAGCCCGUCUUUGCACUCCUCAGAGGAGUCAGAUGAGCUGGGGUCCUUGCAAGGAGACGUGCCCAUGAUGCCACCGCCUGGGGGACGAAGAAUGUCAAUGGGGCACUGUCAGACAGACAGACAGAUAGAAGCACAAACCAACCCCUUCCAAAACAUAACCUCCUUGGCGAAGGCAGAAAGAAGACGAGGAAGACAACCAUUAAGGUUCAUGGAUGAGAUAAAUGAGGACAUGAAGAGAACAGGAGUGACCAGGGAGGAUGAUCAAGAUAAGUGAAGCUGACUUUCUUUUUUCUCACUUUUUUACAAUUGCAAUAUACAAAUGGAAAAAAUGUUUUUCUCCCCUAAAAUGAAACAAAACAUAAUUACAAAAUGAACCCCACAGAAAAAAAUACACACAAAAGGAGACACAUACCAAAACUUAAACUACUAACAAACAAAAAUACACCAGUCCGUAGUAAUAACAAAAAAAAGGAUAACUCAAGCUAACUAGAAUUUUAAACGAAUCUGGUAUGAGAGUAAAGGAGAGUCUUUCCAGUAGUUUGAAAAAUGAGCCCCAAACCUUCUCAGAUGUAUUUGAUGAAGUCUAAUCUUUUCUUCCAAUUUUAGGAAAAACAGAACAUCUCUCACCAAUGAAUAAAAGUAGGGGGGUGGCACUCUUCCAUUUUACUAGAAUUAUUCUGCUGGCAAGUGGGGUCACACAGGCUACAGAGUCUUUUACAGACGAGGACAGGGAAGGUGAAUUUGAGAUUCCAAACAAUGCAGUUAAUGGAGUGGGUGCCACAUCUUCACCUGAAAUCUGAGAUAUGGUGUUAAAUACCCAAAAGUUUUCGUUUCAAAACAUCUUUCCACAUCUCCCUAGAGAAUACUAUGCCCACAUCCUUCUCCCAUAGUGAGUUCAGCGAGUCCUCUCGUAGUUAUUUUACGUAGUUAUUUUCAGUAUAAUAACAUGAAAAGAGUCUAUUAGUGUGAGGGAGGGGAGUUUAAAAGAUAUCCAGGGUUGAUGUAUCAGGAAGGCUUAGGAAAGAUAAAACUAAAACAUAAAACUACAUAACUGUGAGUACAGUAUGUGAAGCUGACUGUCUGCACCCAUGAUGAGAAAUGCCAGUCCACAAAAAAAGAUGCUGGCUAUUUAUUUUUUAUAAAUCACAGCCAGCAUUUUCACUUUUUUUAUGUUUGUUCUCUUUAUUUGACAGGUGGAUGCAGCAGUGGGCGAUGCAAAACUCGAGACCAAGAAGACCUCAGAGGUUAUUUCAUGUGUGACUUGGGGAGAUUUCUGCAGUGUGGCCCUCCUAAUACAAGGUUUUCUCAUCUGAUGUUGGACAUAGUGUGUUUCUGGAUAUCUCCUCUAUCAUGAAGAAGUAAGGUUCAGUUGAGGGCCACUGGAUCCCAGCUCUUGCACAACCUCACGGCCCGCCAAUGAUCCCGCCAGCACAUUGAUCAAUGAAUUUGGUUCCAUGGCCUGAGCAGUUCCAAGUGCUGUUAAUGAGUGAAGCUGAUGUACCUUUUAUUAAA